GCAGUCGAGCGGGGAAGGUAGCUUGCUACCUGACCUAGCGGCGGACGGGUGAGUAAUGCUUAGGAAUCUGCCUAUUAGUGGGGGACAACAUUCCGAAAGGAAUGCUAAUACCGCAUACGCCCUACGGGGGAAAGCAGGGGAUCUUCGGACCUUGCGCUAAUAGAUGAGCCUAAGUCAGAUUAGCUAGUUGGUGGGGUAAAGGCCUACCAAGGCGACGAUCUGUAGCGGGUCUGAGAGGAUGAUCCGCCACACUGGGACUGAGACACGGCCCAGACUCCUACGGGAGGCAGCAGUGGGGAAUAUUGGACAAUGGGCGAAAGCCUGAUCCAGCCAUGCCGCGUGUGUGAAGAAGGCCUUUUGGUUGUAAAGCACUUUAAGCGAGGAGGAGGCUACUUGGAUUAAUACUCUAGGAUAGUGGACGUUACUCGCAGAAUAAGCACCGGCUAACUCUGUGCCAGCAGCCGCGGUAAUACAGAGGGUGCGAGCGUUAAUCGGAUUUACUGGGCGUAAAGCGUGCGUUGGCGGCUUCUUAAGUCGGAUGUGAAAUCCCUGAGCUUAACUUAGGAAUUGCAUUCGAUACUGGGAAGCUAGAGUAUGGGAGAGGAUGGUAGAAUUCCAGGUGUAGCGGUGAAAUGCGUAGAGAUCUGGAGGAAUACCGAUGGCGAAGGCAGCCAUCUGGCCUAAUACUGACGCUGAGGUACGAAAGCCUGGGGAACAAACCGGGUUAGAUAACCUGGUUGUUCCUGCCGUUAACGAAGUUUUCUUGCCGUUGGGGCCUUUGAGGGCUUAGUGGGGCAGGUAACCCGAUAAGUUGACCGCCUGGGGGGUUCGGUUGCAAGAAUUAAAAUUAAAUGAAUUGAAGGGGGCCCGCACCAGCGGUGGGGCCUGUGGUUUAAUUUGGUGCAAAGGGGAGAACCUUACCUGGUUUUGACAUUGUUAAAAAUUUCCAAAGAAGGAAUGGGGCCUUUGGGAAAUUAAAAACCGGUGGUGCCAGGGCUGUUGUUAGGUUGGGUUCUGAGGUGUUGGGUUAAGUUCCGCAACGAGGGCAACCCUUUUCCUUUUUUGCCAGGCAUGUUAGGUUGGGAACUUUAAGGAUACUGCCAGUGACAAACUGGAGGAAGGCGGGGACGACGUCAAGUCAUCAUGGCCCUUACGACCAGGGCUACACACGUGCUACAAUGGUCGGUACAAAGGGUUGCUACCUAGCGAUAGGAUGCUAAUCUCAAAAAGCCGAUCGUAGUCCGGAUUGGAGUCUGCAACUCGACUCCAUGAAGUCGGAAUCGCUAGUAAUCGCGGAUCAGAAUGCCGCGGUGAAUACGUUCCCGGGCCUUGUACACACCGCCCGUCACACCAUGGGAAUUUGUUGCACCAGAAGUAGGUAGUCUAACCGCAAGGAGGACGCU
rnacentral:rRNA from 1 species